rnacentral:rRNA from 1 species
CCUAUCAACUUUCGAUGGUAAGGUAUUGGCUUACCAUGGUUUCAACGGGUAACGGGGAAUUAGGGUUCGAUUCCGGAGAGGGAGCGUGAGAAACGGCUACCACAUCCAAGGAAGGCAGCAGGCGCGCAAAUUACCCAAUCCCGACACGGGGAGGUAGUGACAAUAAAUACUGAUACAGGGCUCUUUUGGGUCUUGUAAUUGGAAUGAGUACAAUUUAAACCUCUUAACGAGGAACAAUUGGAGGGCAAGUCUGGUGCCAGCAGCCGCGGUAAUUCCAGCUCCAAUAGCGUAUAUUAAAGUUGUUGCAGUUAAAAAGCUCGUAGUUGAAACUUGGGCCUGGCUGGCGGGUCCGCCUCACCGCGUGCACUCGUCCGGCCGGGCCUUCCUUCUGAAGAACCUCAUGCCCUUCACUGGGCGUGUUGGGGAAUCAGGACUUUUACUUUGAAAAAAUUAGAGUGUUCAAAGCAGGCCUUUGCUCGAAUACGUUAGCAUGGAAUAAUAAAAUAGGGCGUGCGUUUCUAUUUUGUUGGUUUCUAGAGACGCCGCAAUGAUUAACAGGAACAGUCGGGGGCAUCAGUAUUCAGUUGUCAGAGGUGAAAUUCUUGGAUUUACUGAAGACUAACUACUGCGAAAGCAUUUGCCAAGGAUGUUUUCAUUAAUCAGUGAACGAAAGUUAGGGGAUCGAAGACGAUCAGAUACCGUCGUAGUCUUAACCGUAAACUAUGCCGACUAGGGAUCGGGCGAUGUUCUUUUUCUGACUCGCUCGGCACCUUACGAGAAAUCAAAGUU